rnacentral:precursor_RNA from 1 species
GAGGACCGUAUUCAUGGAAGAGGAUUGAACAGAGAUGAAGUAGACAGUAUGUUGGAUAAAUCUGGAGUAAAGAACCCAGCAAUUGGUAAAGAUGAGAAUAUAUCGCCUCAAGUAAAAGGAGAUGAAGACAUGGGAGAUGAAAUUGACAGUAUGUUGGCUACAUCUGGAGGUCUUUUCUCCUGAGAACACGGGACUCCAGCAUCUUCGGAUUCUGCUCUUGGAGGUGUGAGUCCCUGCCUCUCUGCACAGGGGAACUUAUGUCUCUCCACAUGUCCGCAAAUGUCUACCCAAGAUUAUACAUCUUCCAAAGGCUUUCAAAUACUUCUUUACAUAAACAAGGGGUUUGCCCCACAUCCUCUAUAUUGCAGAAAACAAGACUAGGCUCUACCUCUGUAGAUCAAGCACGACUGAAAUCCGUGCUCUCAAAAGAUGCUGGGGAGAAAGAGUGCCAUUCUUCACAAAUGCUGCUGCAUCAUUGGACUGAAAGUGAAUGGCCCAUGUGUUGCCACUGAUGUGAGCCAUUUGCCUGUUGUGCUUCA